rnacentral:lncRNA from 1 species
UUAAGUAGUAAGACAAUAUAAUCAAGUGUGAGAAUUAAAGAAAAUAUGAGAAAAUCAAAAUGUUGAAGAACCAACAUAACACACUUGGGUAUCGAACCCAGGACUAAAGAGGAGGUGAACUAUCUCCAUCUCCACCCGGCCAUGAGUUGCCCGAUACUAGGCUUCGGCCAACAAAACCUAAAUGCUAAGAGAAGGAAAAAAAC